ensembl:lncRNA
AAAAAAAAUGAAUAAAGUACCUUCUUAAAUAUCCAAACAGUUUUUAAAGCAUUGACUGCCCACAUGCAAGACAUCGUUCUAGUCACCCGGUGCCCUCGUGCACCCUCACAUGCAGCUGCAGGCCUGUUUCAUUAUUUUUUAUAUAAUUAAAUGAAUAAUAACGGAUUGGGGAGAAGACGCCUCUGACCACAGUUACUCCUCCAAGUGCAUUCGGAGAAGUGGUCCAGUUGCAUCUUCAUUGUCUCAGGUUGCAGGUUGCAUGAAUCGGGGGGGGGGUUGUUAGAUUUAUAGUUUGGGGAAAAUAAAUUGCAAACUCAGCGGUCGAUAAGAAAUUAAACCAAGACGAGAGUUGUGCGCUCGAGGAGACAUUUUAUUUAGCUUCUUAAAAAGCUCCGCCGCCGUUCCUUUUAUAACCUCUGCAAUUGUCUCUAAUUUUAGAAAUGUGCCUCUGCUGCAGUCAUUGUUUCUCUCGUGGCAUCAAUUAUUCCACAAGUACACACAUCCCGAUUGAUCACUGGCGUGUUUGCAUGAUCUCGUUGAGGGAUUCACGCGUGUUUUACAUCGGGGGGCUGAUUACUGGAAUGCCUGCGUGUGCACCUGGCGGCCUUUCAUUCAGUUUGCCCUGAAGCACUGAAGGUAUGUGACUGAAAGCCGGCGAUUCAAUCAGAGAAUAAAGAAGCUCCUCGUUGCAAAAAGGUAGGAGCGCAAAUAUUCAGAACUGUUUACUGGCAGAGUUUCAGCAAAAACAUAAAAGCCCAAAAAUAGAUUCAGGCAGUUUUUGCAUGAAACACAGUUCUGUGUCAUAGCCGAGUGUGCGAGCACCGUAACGCCUAAUUAACAGAACACUGCCUUUAACCUGCGCCGCGUACGUGCUAUUUCUGCUCCCGCUUAACGUGACAACGUGUUUUUCAUUUCGAUGAACUAUGAUUAACUCGGCAUUACUGCUGGCACUAUUUUCCUGGAGACGCAACAGAUGAAGGUGGGCAAUUAUUUCUGCAGCUUUAGCCCGUCUCACCUUUCUAUGAGUGAGACGUUUUCCCGCUGGCGGCUCUUCCUGCAGCGCCAAACGACUGUAACGUACACAAUCUUUGGGGAUUGAUCAUUCCCUGCAGCUGUGGAUGUGUGUAAAUCGUGCAGCGCGCACAGCUGUGUUUCAAUGAAUGGUGUGUUACUUUCUGUCGUAAGCACAUUGGAGGCACAAGAAAAAGUGUGUGUGGGGGGAUUUGUGCUGUGCUCUCUUUCCGUUGGUGAUAAAUAGGCUGGAGGAACAGUUUCAACUCAUGGGGGAAUGUGACCUUUCUCGUCAAGCUCCGGACAAAAGAAAGUGACACAAGCAAUGAAGGAAUGUCUCUUACGUUGAGUUGAAGAGCGGAAGUGAUUCCGGGUUCUAUUUCAUCAUCUUCGCCUGAUGCUUUCUGAACAAUUGCACAGCUUUUCUCGACAACGAUUCAAAGAUAUUCACAUGAGCGUGAAAAGCCUUGAAAUCCCAAACUCGUGCUAUACGUUUAGGCAAAUACCACAGCUUAAAGGAAAGAGCAAAGUCAGGUAAGAAACCUCCGGAAUGAGCUCAAUCAUAUGUAUGAAAAUGAACACAACAACUUUGGAACGCAACACAAUGACUUCAUUUGGUGGCGUGUGUGUGUGGCAGCCGAAUAAAAGCUUUUUAUUUCCGACCGAGGGUCCUUCUGUGUUCCAAAUAAUGAAGUCCGCUCUUUUUGUGUAUGAAUUAAUUAUGCAGCAUCAUACUGCCUCAGACUCCUGGUGUUCCUGGCAGAGGAAGAAAGAUUAGGCUGUUACACCCAGAGCUGUUCCUGGACCAGUGCCCUGGAAAUCUGUCUCUGCUGGUCCCACCGUGCCACCUACACUCCCCUCCCCCCGUCCCACCACAGUAAUGGUCCCUAUUUGUUCACACGCCCUGACAGCUUUCAGUGUCGUUUUGCUGCCUUCCUUCGAAACAUUACGAGCUUGCCAGGUGGUCGUCUCUUCCCCCCCCCGAGCGAUUCCCGCCGUUGCCCGGAAGCUCGUGUAGGAAAAUGUCCCAGCUGCGGGACAAUGGACGCGCUCCGUCCUUCCAGCUUGCUGACUGCUGUGCCCGUUUUUAGACUUGUGUGGCUUCUUGUUGGUUUUUUGUGGCUCUCUUUGAAUGUGCCUGUCUCUCUCUUGCCUUGAUGUGAAGCUGGUGACCCUGUUCUUGUUUGCUUGCGUUUUGCUCUUUCCUAUUUCAUCUUCUCGGUGCACCAGAGGUUCAGUGUGUCUCUCAAAUACGAGUUCUAUCGCUCACGUUGCAAACAAAUCCCAUAAAUUAUUUUUAUGCAUCAAUAAAGUGUUUAAACAUCCCUGACACUUUAAUAACAGACCUAUUUUAACACAUUCUCAUGGACACAUAUAGUAUAUAUUUAUUUUUAUAGUCUGUUAUUUUUUUGCAAUGUUUAAUAUUUCUUUCAAUUAUGUCUUUGUAUUGUUUCACCGUGUUUAUUCUCCAAUCCCAAAGUGUGCAAUAAUACUUGCAAUGACCCGUUUCUCAUUCUCAUUCUAAAUUUAAACACCGCCAUCACAUGACUGACAAUAAUAACAGACCAUUGGCUCACAACCACAAUCUCUCCCUUCAUACAGGGUCAUUAAAAGUGAAUCAUCUGUGAGCUUUUAACAUCUCCGUCAGGGUGGGAACUUUUUUAAUCAUCCAUCUUCAUGCAAAAGUUAAGACAUUUCUCAAAAGAAGAGUGGGCCUUAAAGCUAAACGCAUCCUCUGUGCUAAAUCCCCUUUUAUGUCUGAAAUAUUGUUUUCUACUAAGACACGCAAUCCAUUCAUCUCCAUCGUAUGACGGCUGUCCUUGAUAGUAUGUGUUGGCUCUCCCUCCCUGUGUCCAUCUCCGUGUCCUGUUUGUCUCCUCCUGAUGCCUCCUCGCACACUCUGAGCUUCACACAGAGUUCAUCCAUUUCCCAGCAAUCCAAACACCUUCAUCAACAUCCUCCGCCCGUCCAAUUUUCUUCGCAUUUUCUAACUGAUUUUCUUCCCACCGGUGCCUUGAUAGCUUCUUCGGGCCUCCAGUAAACAGCGGCCUUAAUUAGCCGGGCAGAUGGUGCUGCCAAUUCCUUCACUUAAGGACAGUGAGAUGGAGCUAUGAAAGUAGCAACAAUAGUUACUAGUGAGCUGACCUUCAAAUUGAACCCACCAAAUAGGUGCUUCCGUGUGUAUUAAACCAAGUUUUUGUGUUACAGUCUUCCCCAGCUCCUUCAGUUUUUACUUACUUAUUUUUCUCAGAAUAAUAAACCUGCGAAAUAUUCUAGAACGCUAAAAGUCGGCAUCCUCACCUGCUGCCGAUCUAUGGAAGACAGUAUUUCAGUGCAGAACUUAGUCGCUCCGUACGAUAACAAUCCUUGGCUCCAGUAGGAGGCGUUUUACUGCUUAAUUUGCAUGCAAGAAAUACAAAGGGUUGUGUUCUUUUUUUGUGUGCAUCUCCGCGUAUGCGCCCGGCCAAGAGGCAACGUGAGGAAAGUAGAGCGUGAUGAGUUAUGGAGUCUGAGUUUGAGACGGAGCAGACUGAGGGAAUAAAAAGAUGAAGACCAAGAUUAUGCGUCUCUGCUUCAGUGCCUUCUUGCUCCCGCCUUCCAACAAGUGCCUUGUCUUUGUAAUUGAAAAAGACAUCUUUCAGGUCAAAGAGAAUGGAGAGUUAUCAGCCUGAGUCUGUUAUUCAUUAAAGUCAAAUAAUGCAGGAACCUCGUCCAACACUAUUGACCAAAGCCAAUAGGUUUUAUUCCAACUAUCCAGCACAUUUUUAGCAGAAGAUUUUUUUAAAUGAAAAAAAAAAAACAUUGAGAGGGAAAAGAGAAUGUUUUUGCAGCUUACUUUUGUGAUUUAAUCAACAGAAUGGGAAUUAAUGCUUCCCUUUUAUACACAGGAAACACAUGCCAGAAGCUGCUUUUGAACGAGCCGAUUAGUGCGAGAUUAUGUCGUGUCUUUACUUCAGAUGGUAGUGGAUUUUUUUUCUGCCAGACUAAAUAAAUUCUCUGUUUUCAAAGUCGUGCACUCUGCAUUCUUCUCGUCUCCCUGCACAAUGUGCGUGACGUGCAAAACAUGUUCUGACUCAUGACGUCUCGCUGCAUCAUUCAAGUGGAAAUGAUCUUUUAAUGUCGCGAUUAUUAACAGUGUUUAAAGAAAAAAAGAAGACAUGGUGGUUUUGCUUCUUGAGAAGGUUUCAGUAUUCUGCAGCCCGACUGUCAGCGCUUCUCAGUAAUGCACGUUCGUAAAAUCUGUGGAUUUGUGGGAAACAAAUACAAGUCAGUGUUUGUUUUCACAGGCUGAGCGCUGCUUUUCCUCAUGAGUGAACUUAUCUUUAAAAGUAUGAUAGCUAGUAAACUCAUGACAACUUGUCCCUCAAUCGUGCAGAGUGCACAUUUCAUUCAACGACCUCUCGAGGGUGCAGAGGACGUUAUUCAUCAUCCAAUAAUCACCAGUGGCUGCAUGUGGAGGAGGACAAGCAGGGGUAAGAUAGAGUUACAUGGACCCCCCCCACUGCUAUGUAAUGUUUUAUAUAAAACGCGGUCUCCCUCACUGCGGCUCAGGAAGUUUUUCCAACUGUCACGCUUUCAACUUGCCAACUUCGUCUGAAACCCAAAGCGAUGUUGACUGAACAAUGCAGGUGUGAGAACACGUCUUGCUCCGGCGGCUGUCAACAGUUUUGACAAAACAACCGGGACAGUCGGAGCAGCGGAGGCUUUAAAUGACAGGCGGUCGCGCACGUGAUGCGAGCCCUCGGUGGGCGGAUGAAGAUGAAGAUGACAGUGACGAGCUCACAGGCUCGCAGAGAAGAUGAAGCAACCGUUUCAGGAAGGAGAAUAGAUUUGAGGUUGAGCCGUGAUUCUGGAGAGCUACGGCUGAGCUUCUUGAAUCCAUUCAAGACUGCUGGUUAAUCAUCAUAGGUCGAGUAUUUAAAUUAAUCCCAAAGGCGGCACAAAGGUUGAUUUCAGCUGGACGCACAUAUUUCCUUUCCCUGAUUGAGGCUGGAGCGACUCUCUGGCUUUCUGCCGCCGUGCAGCUUCUUUCGCAUUCAGCAGCUCCAGAUCCUCAUCUGCAUGAAACCACAUUAAGCAGAUGUAUGAACCAGUCAGCCGCGGGGAGAUACGGUCAGAAUGUAUUCCUGAAUGGAGGAUUUCUUUACCCAUUCCAGCUUUUUCUUUCUGCCUUUUUCCUUUUCAAUUUUUCUUGGUGAAAGCGAUCGUUUCAUUACUUAUUCCGCUGCUUUCUAAUGCUCCAUCAUCAGGGGAAGCAUUGCCACCAUGCCCUCUGUUUUACAUAUACUAUAUAUAUAUAUAUAUAUAAUAUUCUGUGUGAAUGCAUGGUGUUGUGUGGCCAACGGGAAGACGUGUGUCUGUGUUACGUUGAAAGCUGUCUGUGCAUACUAACGUUAGCCGCCAACUGCAGUGACAUUUAAGGGAAAUCAGUGCUUUGAACCGUGAAAAGCACUUUUUCUUCUGUUUUUAAAAAAUGGAGCAUGUUAAUAUUUGCCUCGCUUCUAUUGUCACUUUCAACUGCUUAAAUGUAAUGAAUGCUAAUGGUACGUUCAAUCAGGACUGUUGCUUGUGCGUCCCACAACUCGACUCUUUUUGUUCAUUUGUUCAGAUAUUGUCCGAGUUGUUGGAGAUCGAGAUGAUGGAAAUUUGCUCCAGAACAAAAUUCUACUAAACAACCAGUAGAAAAUUGAAUUGAAGUUUACUGCUUCUAAAGCUGUGAGCUGUGAGCAGUGAUGUAAAGAAAUAAGGGCCACUCAUGUUACAGUCAACUUCCCUAAUUAAUCCACACAGGAGGAGAAACUCGGCGGCGCGGCCAUCGAUUUGGCUCAGGCCAGUCAUCGAUCGGCUUAUUGACGAUACAGUUUAUUGGAGGUAAUUAAUGAGCUGCUCGUACACAGGGUGCCUUCAGUCCUAACUCAUCACAGACACUGCGUGCAUGAGUGAUGCUCGCUCGGCCCCUGGCGGAGCGCUAUCGACAUCUCGGACUACGGACCUUUCACUUUCGACCGGCACUGUAUCAACGCACCCGAACCAGCGGGCAGAAAUCAAGUAAUUGGUAAUACUUUAGACCGCAGGGUGAUUCAGCUCCUGCUCCAUCCGUUACACGACGCAGUCAAUGUGACACCAACGGGGGCCGAUAGUGAGCGAGCCAGAUUCACGAGUGGAUUGAUUACAGAUGCUGACGCCUCUGAGGAAAGAUGCACGUCAGCCUGCGGGAGGAAGUGGAUGUAAAGACGCCACAGCAACGAGGUGUUGUGUCGCCUCAAAAUAAAAGUAUCAGGAUCCACACGACUGUUCAAGGUCCCACAGAAAUGUGUGUUCUGCAAAGAAACGGUCAACGUUACCGUUGUAAAGCAUGAAUAUCGGGUGCACAUUUCUAAAUAUAAGUUGCUGGAAAAUAGGCAGGAAAUCGUUCAAACGAAAAGUAUUUAUUAGAUUUGAAAAUGGUUCAACGGUGGAUAAACGUUUCCUUUUUUCUUUGUCUGUUGGAUAACAGGGUUUCCAUUAUGAAUUAGAUUCAAUCCAUUUUUGUCCUAAUGUCAGCCCUCUUCCAGCGGUUGCUUAGCGACUGCUCAAAGCCAAGAAAUAGUCCGCACACAACAGCCGGGAAAACAGCUAAUUGUCAUAUAUUUACCCCUAAUUUUUUAAAGAUGAAAUAAAUAAGAAAAGAUGACAUGUUGAUUGCCGAGCUGCAGAGAUGCUUCUUAUUGGGGGACUUUUGUUAUGAGGUAAUUUUAAGCUAAAUAAACUUGUGUUUUCAUGUCAGGAUUUCUGAACCCGGAUUCUGCUCACAUCCUGAUGACGGACGUUUUGUGUGUUGCCGUUUUGUGUUUCUGUUGUGUGUGCGCUGCUGCUCGCGUUGGCCCCGCACGACCUCUGUUUUUGUUCCUCUCCGUGUACAUUUCAUGCUGCACGUGUGUGUGUGUGUGUGUGUGUUAUCAUCUGGCUGGUGCCUGCAGGACCCGAUGCUCUGUGUCUCUGUGCGUUGUGUGUCCCUGGUGUGUGUGUGUGUGAGUGUCCAACCUGGCUGGGUUCGGUGCUGUGAUAAAGAAAAGGCCCCCAGCUGCCACCUCGGUUUUCUGCCACAUGGAGCCGGAGCCGGGCGGCUCCUGGACGGAGAGAUUAGGGAAUAAAUGCCUGAGAACUGGGAGCCAGAGAGCAGAGCGGCGAAUCGCAACCUGCAGCCUCUGAGGAGAGAAAUAAGUAACGUUUAGGAGGUAAUCAACAGCGAUUGGGUCUGCAUUGCAUCAGCAGAACUGCAUUGUGGGUAAAUAAUUAUUCAUUGAUGUGGAGGCUGCAGAUUUGUGCAUGUUUUUUAUUUGGUACAUUUAAAACUGCAACAUGUCGAAGCAGCAUGGCCUGAUUCAUUUAGACAUGACAUGUGGGUGUGUAAAAGACCAUUUGACCUGAUCAGUAAGAACACCGACUCAUUCGUUGUGAAUAUUUGAGAGCGUGUAAAGAAACAAAGCUGGCUGAAGUAAAACAUUCAUGAGGACGAACGCAAUCAGCCACAGUCGCCAUCUGCAAAGCAGAAGCAACCUUUGUGUGAAAGAGUGACUGAUGCGAUACUGGCUCAGCUCACUUCAACCUGCCGGCUACCAACUUUUACAUUACAGGUGGUUAAGCCCGUUUGAGAUGAACAGCAGUAGAGAGUGUGUGGGGUGAAAACAAAUGACUUCUCUACUCGGACAGUUUUUAGAUCCGAUCUCAAGGCCACUUGUCUUUUUUUUCCUCACCUCCUUCAGUUUUCUAUCCCAUUCAAUACACUUUUCUCCUAAUUUCCUGUAGCUUGCAGCGGUUGCCUAGCAACUGCUGGCCCCAGCAUCCUCACCAUUGUGAAUAGUCUUGAGAUUCUCGGUUUCUGUUCUUUUGGGCCCUUUAAAUACGCUGUAGACCCAUCGCCGAGUUGCCUUUCCUCAAUCACAACUGUAACAAAGUGUUUCCAGCUCGGGUCGGGCAUUGAGGAUACAGAACAUUCUCCAUCGCGUAGACCAUCACACGAUCCCCUCUUGCCAAAUUCUGUUGUGGAUCUCCACAUGUUUGGUGCCCUCCUUUUCCCCGUCGGUCAUGCAGAGAUAUACCGUCUCCUGCCGUUGCUCUUCGGGUGAUAUCCAGCUACCCGUGAUGCCCGACUACCUGCAAGCCGCAGAAUGAUGCUACUCGGCUGAAGCCGUCCUCAUCUCUGCCGCACUGCGCUGGUUUCCAGUUCACAACCAAUUUCAUUUUAUGAUCCUCCUGUUUGUUUUUAAAUGGUCCGGCUCCCACUUAAAAGCCCGGCCUCCAUCUCUAUCUAGCCCACGAUUGCUCCUUUGUGUUAUAUCCCACUCAAAACCUCCCUUUUAUUGUUUAACUUGUUUAACUAUUUAAGUGUACUUAUAAGACCUUUGUACUCAGUUGGUUGGAGUCUGUUUCAGAAAUAAACAUGAAGAAGUCCUAAUCAAUAAACUCUAGUACAGUUCUUUAAUAUAUCAAAUAUUAAGGAUUGAUUUUGAUUUUGUUUUGCAAGAAUAAUGUUGAAUAUUUUGAGGGCAGGAAAUCUUCUACUUUCCGAACAUAAAUGAGAGAGAAAUCGCCUCGUGUUUGGUCCUUUCUUAUCUUCUUUGCUUACUGAUUGGAGUUGGAGCACCUGUGUAAAUACUGUCGCAAUUUAUUUAAAGUGGCAUUCACCAAAAGAAGAAGAAAUCAGGAAGAAUUCCGUCUAAAAGCAAUAAUGGCACCAUUUUAAAUAAGUAUUCAUAAUGAUGGAGCUUUUUCUGUACUCUGCUUUCCAUUUGACCUGAUGAGGUCAAUCGGAGGCAGAAUGAGUCGUGUCUUUUAAAAAUCUUUAAUCCUCCGCAUAUCUAAUUGUAGGUGACGAUUCCAAGUGUUUGAUCACUUCUUACAUUCAUGUAACUUAUUUCCAUGGACCUGCAAUCACAAAACUGGGCACCGGCACCAGAAAGAAACGGGGGCCGAGGGGACAAUAAUGCCUCGUUAAUGGAAACACGAUGACGCUUGUUGCCAUGGAUACCGUUCACUGCUGUAUCCACAAAUUGGGAUCCCCGUGCAGCUCUCUGGAGGCUGAUGUUUACAUUGGCUGAUGGUGAGCAAGCAGCCACGGCGGUAUUAGUCAUCCAGCGGCGCGAUGCGGUCCGGAGCUGCAGGGCUGCGCAUAACGUGCACAAAGGUUUAUUUUUUUGUGAUGUGAAAAAAGGAAGAAGGUCCCAGUAGACGGCCAUUUCUGUUUCGGUUAACUGUUAGAAGUAUUUCCUUUUGUAUGAGCACUGCAGGGCACUUUCUCGAGUUUCGAGGUUCUAAAUCCAUCUUGCAAUUCCAAAAAAAGUCCUCCAACCGACUCGAGCACAAAGGCUGUCUGCUCCCACCACCUAGACCUUCGUCCCUCCUCGGGUCCAUGUCCUCUCACUCCAUCGUCCAUACCCCUGAAACAGUAGACUCAUAAUAGUGAGCUUGUCUCACACGGGCUGCUCUGAUCUUCACGCGGAUGCAUUUGAGUUGCGUGUCCCACAUGUCAUAUUAACUUUGGCAUUGGCUGUAUUUUGCUUGUGCUGACAUCUGAUUUCUGUACAUUACGUUUCCCCCCCCCACCAAUCAAUGAGCUGUGCAGAGGAUACGGUCAAUUCUGCAUCCAGUAAACACUCUGGUAUGACAGCAGCUACCCAUCCCUCCUGAACCCGUGAGGCUUGAGUGUUUGUUUAUAUUGAAUACAGCUGAGAGGAAAAACACCGCGAGCCGAGCUUAAAGAAUUAAAGGUUUCUACAGAACAAAGGUGGGAGAAAAGUAAGAAUUUCCAGGUCAUUAAGGUGCAAAUCCCCUUUAUGCAAUAUUAAAGAAGGCCGGUGAUUUCCCAUCACCUCUGUGGGUCCAGUGUAAGUUCAGCUGCGUUCCUGUAGGCGUGCAGUAUGAAAUGUGGAACUUUUGCAGGACAAAGGUUGUUAAUGACUUUUUAAGGGAACCGAGGUACAGUUCUGUAAUUGUUACGCGCCGGUGGGUUCAGUUCUGCAAGUUUCAUGUCGGCUUUUAAAGCUACAGAUUCACUGGCAGGCAACGAGCACUUGGCCGAGCUGAAGCGAUUUUACAGCCAAGCAAAAGAUUUGUUUGUCUGGGGCAAAAACGUCAUUGUUUAAUUUUGCAUUGGAAUAGGAGCAGCGUUUUAUGCCAAUGAACAUUACUUUAAUGGGAUCAUCAUAGUGAGAUGUGUAUGUGUGGGCGCCGUUUUGUCUUUUUGCCCGUUGUAAUAAUAUAAUGGAACCAUAUUUUCAGAGUCACCGGAUUGUAGGAUUCAAGUGGCUGCUAAUUAUUCUUUUUUGCCUGUGAUUAGUGGAUCCACAUUAACCGGCCAAAACGAGCAUACGAACGUGUUUGCGAGUGUUAUUCGACAUUUAUUUUUUGACAUUUUUUCAUUGUGGAAUCAGCUGAUGUGAUCAGCGGUCUUGCUGUGGGUUUUAAACGUCUUUAAAAAUAAUUAAUGUUUUUGGAACUAUUGAUUGAGUGAGAAGGGCCGAGCCGGCUGGAGACCAUGUACCCAAUCAACACAGGAACACAGCAGUACACCGAAUGCAUUCCAAAUUCUACUCAUACUGCAGCUACUUUAACAGUUUUCACGCACUUAUUCAAUUACAAAUUAUUGAUGUCUGCAAACGCAUAAUGGAACUUUUAUCCUCUGGAGACAAAUGGCUUUUCCCUGAAGGACGAGCACUGAUUUUCCCGUCUCAAAGUGCUGAAUCGUCAUAAAUUUGGCUGCCCUUUAGAAAGCAUUUCAGCACGGAACCUGGACUUUAUGCUUUGCCCCUCGAUCCUCGCAGCACAGAACGGUUCGAUUUACGGCGAGUGUGAACAGGAGGGAAAACAGCCUCCAAUUCAAUGAACCUUUGGAAUGCAAUAAUAGUUUUAAGGGAGUAACCAUCUGAAGUGAUCCUUUAAUCCAUACUAGCUGAAACAAUAACUGUGGGAGAUUUCAAAUGACUUUCUUUAAUCGUGUUCGUGUGAGAAACUGUUGAGUGAAAAGAAAGAGCAAAAAAAGGUCUUCAUCGUUGGAUUGUGUCUGAGUAACAGCAAAUGUAUCAAUUUGCAAGUUCCAAUUAUUCCAAAACAUGACGUCGCCUACUGGGAUCUGGGUGUAAGAAGUCUUUGCAAUGUGUGCUUGUAACGUGGGCUUCAUUGCCGUAAGUAAAUCUUACAUUUUGAGAGUUUUUUUUCCGGGCUAAAAUGAGCUAAAUGCUAAAAUCUAUUUGCCGUCUUCCUCUCAGCUGUGCAUUCAUUUUAACAUUACAGCACAUUACUAAGGACCCGCAGGGUGACCUUGAUUCUCACAGAUGAAGCCCCGUGCAUCUUCACAUGAUACACAACGACCUUCAUCACUCAGCCUAAAACCUUGUUAGAAACCACAGAAUAACCUUCCCUCACUCGGUAAGACCCAUCGCAGCUCGGAUGAUGGGACUCGGUUCUGUUUUGAAACCGCCCGGCAGAACAACCUUCACGUGACGUUGUUACAGACGUGAGGUCCGGUGCUCCUACGCUGCCAGUUAUCUAAGAGUUAUCUAAUUGCUUUCAGCAGCCCUUCAAUUUUUGUGAGAUGAAUUUU